ACGGGUGAGUAAUGCCUAGGAAUCUGCCUGGUAGAGGGGGACAACGUUUCGAAAGGAACGCUAAUACCGCAUACGUCCUACGGGAGAAAGCAGGGGACCUUCGGGCCUUGCGCUAUCAGAUGAGCCUAGGUCGGAUUAGCUAGUUGGUGAGGUAAUGGCUCACCAAGGCGACGAUCCGUAACUGGUCUGAGAGGAUGAUCAGUCACACUGGAACUGAGACACGGUCCAGACUCCUACGGGAGGCAGCAGUGGGGAAUAUUGGACAAUGGGCGAAAGCCUGAUCCAGCCAUGCCGCGUGUGUGAAGAAGGUCUUCGGAUUGUAAAGCACUCUAAGUUGGGAGGAAGGGUUGUAGAUUAAUACUCUGCAAUUUUGACGUUACCGACAGAAUAAGCACCGGCUAACUCUGUGCCAGCAGCCGCGGUAAUACAGAGGGUGCAAGCGUUAAUCGGAAUUACUGGGCGUAAAGCGCGCGUAGGUGGUUUGUUAAGUUGGAUGUGAAAUCCCCGGGCUCAACCUGGGAACUGCAUCCAAAACUGGCAAGCUAGAGUAUGGUAGAGGGUGGUGGAAUUUCCUGUGUAGCGG
rnacentral:rRNA from 1 species